UCUUAUGGAUGAGCAAUGAAAGGGGUUUCUUAAGAUGGCAUCUAUUCUUGGUGAAGAUGUUGUGAA
rnacentral:pre_miRNA from 1 species